rnacentral:rRNA from 1 species
AGUGAACGCUGGCGGUAGGCCUAACACAUGCAAGUCGAACGGCAGCACAGUAAGAGCUUGCCCUUACGGGUGGCGAGUGGCGGACGGGUGAGGAAUACAUCGGAAUCUACUUUUUCGUGGGGGAUAACGUAGGGAAACUUACGCUAAUACCGCAUACGACCUACGGGUGAAAGCAGGGGAUCUUCGGACCUUGCGCGAUUGAAUGAGCCGAUGUCGGAUUAGCUAGUUGGCGGGGUAAAGGCCCACCAAGGCGACGAUCCGUAGCUGGUCUGAGAGGAUGAUCAGCCACACUGGAACAGAGACACGGUCCAGACUCCUACGGGAGGCAGCAGUGGGGAAUAAUGGACAAUGGGCGCAAGCUUGAUCCAGCCAUACCGCGUGGGUGAAGAAGGCCUUCGGGUUGUAAAGCCCUUUUGUUGGGAAAGAAAAGCAGCAGGUUAAUACCCCGCUGUUCUGACGGUACCCAAAGAAUAAGCACCGGCUAACUUCGUG